ACGAACGCUGGCGGCGUGCUUAACACAUGCAAGUCGAACGGAAAGGCCUCUUUCGGGGGGUACUCGAGUGGCGAACGGGUGAGUAACACGUGAGUAACCUGCCCUUGACUUUGGGAUAACUUCAGGAAACUGGGGCUAAUACCGGAUAGGAGCUCCUGCUGCAUGGUGGGGGUUGGAAAGUUUCGGCGGUUGGGGAUGGACUCGCGGCUUAUCAGCUUGUUGGUGGGGUAGUGGCUUACCAAGGCUUUGACGGGUAGCCGGCCUGAGAGGUGACCGGCCACAUUGGGACUGAGAUACGGCCCAGACUCCUACGGGAGGCAGCGGUGGGGAAUAUUGCACAAUGGGUGGAAGCCUGAUGCAGCAACGCCGUGUGCGGGAGGACGGCCUUCGGGUUGUAAACCGCGUUCGCUCAUGACGAAGCUUUGUGUGACGGUAGUGGGUAAAGAAGCACCGGCUAACUACGUG
rnacentral:rRNA from 1 species